rnacentral:rRNA from 1 species
AACGAACGCUGGCGGCAGGCUUAACACAUGCAAGUCGAGCGCCCCGCAAGGGGAGCGACAGACGGGUGAGUAACGCGUGGGAAUCUACCCAUCUCUACGGAAUAACGCAUGGAAACGUGUGCUAAUACCGUAUACGUCCUUCGGGAGAAAGAUUUAUCGGAGAUGGAUGAGCCCGCGUUGGAUUAGCUAGUUGGUGGGGUAAAGGCCUACCAAGGCGACGACCCAUAGCUGGUCUGAGAGGAUGAUCAGCCACACUGGGACUGAGACACGGCCCAGACUCCUACGGGAGGCAGCAGUGGGGAAUAUUGGACAAUGGGCGCAAGCCUGAGCCAGCCAUGCCGCGUGAGUGAUGAAGGCCCUAGGGUUGUAAAGCUCUUUCACCGGUGAAGAUAAUGACGGUAACCGGAGAAGAAGCCCCGGCUAACUUCGUGCCAGCCGCCGCCGUAACAC